CUUGAAGCAGUGAUUGAGCACCUGGUGGGAAGGCAGGCACAACUCAGAGGAGCUCAGGUGCAUGCAGUGUAUCUGAAUGACUGGAAGGACUGGAGCCAGGAUCCACCCCUUCUCAGAUCUCAUUUAAGGGCUGGCAGCCCAGAGUGGGUAAAGAGGGCGUUCUGCAUCACAGUCUUGUGCUGUUGCUUCGUAAGAGAGCCAGGAGUAAUACCCUAGCACAGCACAAAAUGGAAGUGGGAAGACGGGAUAAGUUGAAGAUGGGACUAACAUACACAGAUGUUUGAAUGGACUUUAUUCUUCAUUAAAAUACAACUGCUGGUGGGAUUAAGGAAGGAGUAUGUCACCACUGAGAUUAUGAAGCAGUGGGUGUCUUCAAGAAGAUGAAUACACAAGAAUAGUCACCACCUUUAGCUAUGCAUUUUCACUGAGAUGAACAAGAGCCUGCAUGCCACCACUGCUGAAACAGCAUUCAGUGCCUCACUGUGUUCACAUCCACUGUUGGACCUCCAAAAAUGUUCAGCAAGCAUCACUGAAUUUCAACUGGUGCAUUUUUUUCUGCAUGGAGGAAUUAAAUUAAAACAAAAAACAACCUGUGUUCAGGAAAAAACAAAAGCCACACCCAGUAUAUUGUAACUGUGACUCAGCCUUGCAUUGGUCCAAUGUUGUGAAGUUAUGGGCCUAAUUUUGAAAAGGUUUUAUUUGUCAGCUCAUUUCCAGCAGACUCAGGAUGGAAAUGAGCCUUUGCAGACAACUAAGAAACAGGAAAUUCAGUAUGCAGAACUCUUCUCCAAACAUGAUGAACUCAACCAUUUUCCUCUCUCAGUAGCAAUGUCAUAAAGAUUUCAUGUUUCUAGAAGUAUCUUUCUUAGAAUUCAUCUAAAUCACACGUGUAUACAAGACGUGCUGCAAAAAGAUGAAUGAUGUUCGUAUGAAAUAUUUAAACAUCAACAAAAAUUUCAAUUAAUCACCUUUCACCACAGUCCAUACUAGCUAUCCUGAUUCCAUUCUUUAAAUUUUCACAAAAGCUAACAUGGAAUUCAGGAAUGGUACUUUCAAAGUGUGCUUUCAAUUUACUUCAGUGGUUAAAAUUAUACUUACUUCUGAUGUUAUGAUUUAUAAAAUUUGUGUCACAAAAGAGUAUAUAUAGAUAUUAUAGAUAUAUAAAU
rnacentral:lncRNA from 1 species